UACGUAGGGUGCGAGCGUUAAUCGGAUUUACUGGGCGUAAAGCGUGCGCAGGCUGUCCGCUAAGACAGGUGUGAAAUCCCUGGGCUCAACCUAGGAAUUGCGCUUGUGACUGGCGGGCUAGAGUACGGUAGAGGGGGGUGGAAUUUCUGGUGUAGCAGUGAAAUGCGUAGAGAUCAGGAGGAACACCGAUGGCGAAGGCAGCCCCCUGGGCCUGUACUGAAGCUCAGGCACGAAAGCGUGGGGAGCAAACAGG
rnacentral:rRNA from 1 species